AUGAGACCACCGGCCCGGAGAUAUGGGCUUGGGCAGGUUGACAUCUUUGUCAUGGGGAUCGGCAGUGGCGGUACUGUCACCGGCGUCGGCAAGUACCUCAAGGAGAAGAACCCCAAUGCGAAGAUCUAUGGAGUUGAAGCAAAUAUUCUGAAUGGUGGCAAGCCAGUGGGAUUAAAGCCAGACAUUUUGGACAUGGACAUAAUGGAGAAGGUUCUUGAGGUGAAAGGCGAGGAUGCCGCCAAGAUGGCGCUGCAAGAGGGCCUGCCUGCUGGAGCCAGCACGGUGGCAGCGAUUGAACUCGCAAAGAGGCCUGAAAACAGAGGGAAGCUCAUCGUGUCUGUUCAUCCGAGCGCGGGAGAUCGAUACUUACCGUCGGCGCUGUUCGAGGGUCCGAGGAAGGAGGCUGAGGCUAUGCAGCCAGCGCCAGUGGACUAA
rnacentral:rRNA from 1 species